rnacentral:rRNA from 1 species
GAUGAACGCUAGCGGCAGGCUUAACACAUGCAAGUCGAGGGGUAUUGGUUUUCGGACCAAGAGACCGGCGCACGGGUGCGUAACGCGUAUGCAAUCUACCUUUUGCAGAGGGAUAGCCCAGAGAAAUUUGGAUUAAUACCUCAUAGUAUAGUAGUUUCGCAUGAAACGACUAUUAAAGUUCCAACGGCAAAAGAUGAGCAUGCGUCCCAUUAGCUAGUUGGUAAGGUAACGGGUUACCAAGGCAACGAGGGGUAGGGGUCCUGAGAGGGAGACUCCCCACACUGGUACUGAGACACGGACCAGACUGCUACGGGGGGCAACAGUGGGGAAUAUUGGACAAGGGGCGCAAGGCUGAUCCAGCGAUGCCGCGUGCAGGAGGGCGGUCAUAUGGAUGGUAAACUGCUUUUGUACAGGAAGAAACACUCCCACGUGAGGGAGAUUGACGGUACUGUAAGAAUAAGGAUCGGCUAAAUCCGUGCCAGCAGCCGCCGCAG